UAUCUCAACACACAGUUUAUUAAAAAGAAUAAACUGACAGAAGUGGACCUUCAAUAUGGUUAUGGUGGUGUAGAUAUGAAUGAACCACUUAUGGAAACAUGAGAGCUAGCAUUGGACAUGUGGAGGAAAUUGAUGGUUGAACCACUUCAGACCAUCCUUAUCCGAAUGUUGCUCCAAGAAAUCAAAAAUGAUCGUGGUGGAGAAGACCCAAACCAGAAAGUAAUCCACGGGGUUAUUAACUCCUUUGUUCAUGUUGAACAGUAUAAGAAAAAAUUCCCUUUAAAGUUUUAUCAGGAAAUCUUUGAGUCUCCCUUUCUGACUGAAACAGGAGAGUAUUACAAACAAGAAGCUUCAAAUUUAUUACAAGAAUCAAACUGCUCACAGUAUAUAGAAAAGGUUCUAGGUAGAUUAAAAGAUGAAGAAAUUCGGUGUCGAAAAUACUUACAUCCAAGUUCAUAUACUAAAGUGAUUCACGAAUGUCAACAACGAAUGGUAGCAGACCACUUACAGUUCUUACACGCAGAAUGUCAUAAUAUCAUCCGACAAGAAAAAAAAAAUGACAUGGCAAAUAUGUAUGUCUUACUCCGUGCUGUGUCCACUGGUUUACCUCAUAUGAUUCAGGAGCUGCAAAAUCAUAUCCAUGAUGAGGGCCUUAGAGCAACCAGUAAUUUUACUCAGGAAAAUAUGCCAACACUAUUUGUGGAGUCAGUUUUAGAAGUACAUGGUAAAUUUGUUCAACUUAUCAACACUGUUUUGAAUGGUGAUCAGCACUUUAUGAGUGCAUUGGAUAAGGCCCUUACAUCAGUUGUAAAUUACAGAGAACCCAAGUCUGUUUGCAAAGCACCUGAAUUGCUCGCUAAGUACUGUGACAACUUGCUGAAGAAAUCAGCAAAGGGGAUGACAGAGAAUGAAGUAGAGGACAAGCUCACGAGCUUUAUCACUGUCUUCAAAUAUAUUGACGAUAAAGAUGUUUUUCAAAAGUUCUAGGCAAGAAUGUUGGCGAAGCGUUUAAUUCAUGGGUUAUCUAUGUCUAUGGAUUCUGAAGAAGCCAUGACCAAUAAAUUAAAGCAAGCCUGUGGUUAUGAAUUUACCAGCAAGCUACAUCGGAUGUAUACAGAUAUGAGUGUCAGUGCAGAUCUCAACAAUAAGUUCAACAAUUUUAUCAAAAAUCAGGACACAGUAAUAGAUUUGGGAAUUAGUUUUCAAAUAUAUGUUCUACAGGCUGGUGCAUGGCCUCUUACUCAGGCUCCUUCAUCUACAUUUGCAAUUCCCCAGGAAUUGGAAAAAAGUGUACAGAUGUUUGAAUUAUUUUACAGCCAGCAUUUCAGUGGAAGGAAACUUACAUGGUUACACUAUCUUUGUACAGGUGAAGUAAAAAUGAACUAUUUGGGCAAACCAUAUGUAGCUAUGGUUACAACAUACCAAAUGGCAGUUCUUCUUGCCUUCAACAACAGUGAAACCGUCAGCUAUAAAGAGCUUCAAGACAACACUCAGAUGAAUGAAAAGGAACUGACGAAAACAAUCAAAUCAUUACUCGAUGUGAAAAUGAUUAACCAUGAUUCAGAAAAGGAAGACAUCGAUGCAGAAUCUUCAUUUUCAUUAAAUAUGAACUUUAGCAGUAAAAGAACAAAAUUUAAAAUUACUACAUCAAUGCAGAAAGACACACCACAGAAAAUGGAGCAGACGAAAAGUGCUGUAGACGAAGACCGGAAAAUGUACCUCCAGGCUGCUAUAGUUCGUAUCAUGAAAGCGAGAAAAGUACUGCGGCAUAAUGCCCUUAUUCAAGAGGUGAUUAGCCAGUCAAGAGCUCGGUUUAACCCUAGUAUCAGCAUGAUUAAGAAGUGUAUUGAAGUCCUGAUAGACAAACAGUACAUCGAACGCAGCCAGGCGUCCGCGGAUGAGUUCAGCUAUAUCGCGUGACGCGGCGCUCCUCCAGCGUCGGUGUGAGAAGGUCGUUGCCAUCAGCAUCCGGUGUGUGCGCGUGGGAGAAGGCAAGCCUGUGCCUCCAUAAUUUGGUCAUUUGGCAGCCCCUGUUUCUCUGCUGUUUACAUCACCAGUGCCACGUCAUGAGCGUCAGAGAAGAUGCCUAGAGAUAUUUCAAGCUCAUGUCAUUAUGACAUUUCUUAAAACUUUAUUAAAAAAAGGAUGAGUGAAGUAUUGCUGAAAUGUGGAAAUCUGGCUGGGUACCAUGCUUUUUCUCCCCUUCACGUUUGCAGUUGAUGUGUUUUUUUUUUUUUUUAAUAUAUCUUAAAGGACAUAAGAUUUAAAAAAAAACCUAAAUUUGUAAUAUGACAGAUAACCUAAUAAUUGUAUCUACAUUAAAAUGACAAACAUGAUACUGCUGCUUGUCAA